rnacentral:rRNA from 1 species
UGGGCUUGACAUCUCCGGAAUCCUGCAGAGAUGCGGGAGUGCCCUUCGGGGACUCGGAACAC